GUGGAAAAUUCCCAGUUGCUGGGCAAGCCACUUCCCAUGAGUCGUCUUCCCAGAACCCCUCACUCCUAGCAUGGAGACCCGCAGUGCAGCGUAUUCAUCCAGACAUGGUUGUAGCAGACCUUUCUCCUUCAGAACCACUGGACAAAAAUGCUUGGUGUCUCCCAGCUGCCUCUUAAAGUUGAACUCCUAAUGGGACCAUCAUAAACAAAGACAGUCUUAGGAGAGAACCCCAGACUUCUCUAUCCCCAG